GACGAACGCUGGCGGCGUGCCUAACACAUGCAAGUCGAGCGGUAAGGCCCUUCGGGGUACACGAGCGGCGAACGGGUGAGUAACACGUGGGCAACCUGCCCUGCACACUGGGAUAACCUCGGGAAACCGAGGCUAAUACCGGAUACGACCUCGCGAGGCAUCUCGCAAGGUGGAAAGCUCCGGCGGUGCAGGAUGGGCCCGCGGCCUAUCAGCUAGUUGGUGGGGUAGCGGCCUACCAAGGCGACGACGGGUAGCCGGCCUGAGAGGGCGACCGGCCACACUGGGACUGAGACACGGCCCAGACUCCUACGGGAGGCAGCAGUGGGGAAUAUUGCUCAAUGGGCGCAAGCCUGAAGCAGCGACGCCGCGUGAGGGAUGACGGCCUUCGGGUUGUAAACCUCUUUCAGCAGGGACGAAGCGCAAGUGACGGUACCUGCAGAAGAAGCACCGGCCAACUACGUGCCAGCCGCCGCCGUAAAAC
rnacentral:rRNA from 1 species